AACGAACGCUGGCGGCGUGCCUAACACAUGCAAGUCGAACGUGAUUGGAAGCUUGCUUCCAUGAAAGUGGCGCACGGGUGAGUAACGCGUAGAUAAUCUACCUGAUGAUCCGGGAUAACACUUCGAAAGGGGUGCUAAUACCUGAUAAGCCCACGGGGUCUUCGGACUCUGCGGGAAAAGGGGGGGACCUUCGGGCCUUCCGUCAUCAGAUGAGUCUGCGUACCAUUAGCUAGUUGGUAGGGUAAAGGCCUACCAAGGCGACGAUGGUUAGCUGGUCUGGGAGGAUGAUCAGCCACACUGGAACUGAGACACGGUCCAGACUCCUACGGGAGGCAGCAGUGGGGAAUUUUGCGCAAUGGGGGAAACCCUGACGCAGCAACGCCGCGUGAGUGAUGAAGGCCCUUGGGUCGUAAAGCUCUGACAGAGGGAAAGAAGUGCAGGGGAGCUAAUAUCUCCUUUGCUUGACGGUACCCUCAAAGGAAGCACCGGCUAACUCCGUGCCAGCCGCCGCGGUAAUAC
rnacentral:rRNA from 1 species